CACAAUGGCAUAACUUGAAUGACAUAAAAGUUUAUCAUAAAACUUAAAUCCAUGGGUCACCACAAGCAGUCUGGGAAAUACCAGCAGCCAGCGCAGCACUGAACAGCAGGAAAAUGAGACUAUUCAAUGAGAUUCAGGUGUACACAACCUCAAGCUUUCACAACAGGCAGGAUGAAGACUAACAAGCUGAAGUUCACUCCAGGAAAGAUCUAAUGAUUAUGCAUUAAUGGUU